rnacentral:rRNA from 1 species
UACGUAGGGGGCAAGCGUUGUCCGGAUUUAUUGGGCGUAAAGAGCGUGUAGGCGGUUUUACAGGUCCGCUGUGAAAACUCGGAGGCUCAACCUCGACUGUCGGUGGAAACCGUAAAGGCUAGAGUCCGGAAGAGGAGAGUGGAAUUCCUGGUGUAGCGGUGAAAUGCGCAGAUAUCAGGAAGAACACCCGUGGCGAAGGCGGCUCUCUGGGCCGUAACUGACGCUGAGGAGCGAAAAGCAUGGGGGAG